ensembl:lncRNA
AUGGGCCAAAGCUGCAUUAUUUGUGUUUGCUUUGUGACACUUGUGGCGGUGAGAGGAGCCCCUUGCAGUCCCUGCUCUGCUCCCUGUGCCCAUCCCCAGCUCCGAGCUGUUAUCCCGGGGGAGCAGCUGUCCUGGCUCCUCCCCAGUCCUCAGUGUCCCUGUCCCCUGGGUGCUCACUCAGAGCCCUGUGCUCCUUGGCUCAGGAGAUGUGCAGGGGGUUCCAGCCCUGUGCUCCUUGGCUCAGGAGAUGUGCAGGGGGUUCCAGCCCUGUGCUCCUUGGCUCAGGAGAUGUGCAGGGGGUUCCAGCCCUGUGCUCCUUGGCUCAGGAGAUGUGCAGGGGGUUCCAGCCCUGUGCUCCUUGGCUCAGGAGAUGUGCAGGGGGUUCCAGCCCUGUGCUCCUUGGCUCAGGAGAUGUGCAGGGGGUUCCAGCCCUGUGCUCCUUGGCUCAGGAGAUGUGCAGGGGGUUCCAGCCCUGUGCUCCUUGGCUCAGGAGAUGUGCAGGGGGUUCCAGCCCUGUGCUCCUUGGCUCAGGAGAUGUGCAGGGGGUUCCAGCCCUGUGCUCCUUGGCUCAGGAGAUGUGCAGGGGGUUCCAGCCCUGUGCUCCUUGGCUCAGGAGAUGUGCAGGGGGUUCCAGCCCUGUGCUCCUUGGCUCAGGAGAUGUGCAGGGGGUUCCAGCCCUGUGCUCCUUGGCUCAGGAGAUGUGCAGGGGGUUCCAGCCCUGUGCUCCUUGGCUCAGGAGAUGUGCAGGGGGUUCCAGCCCUGUGCUCCUUGGCUCAGGAGAUGUGCAGGGGGUUCCAGCCCUGUGCUCCUUGGCUCAGGAGAUGUGCAGGGGGUUCCAGCCCUGUGCUCCUUGGCUCAGGAGAUGUGCAGGGGGUUCCAGCCUGUGUGCUCCUUGGCUCAGGAGAUGUGCAGCAGUGCAGGGGGUUCCAGCCUGUGUGCUCCUUGGCUCAGGAGAUGUGCAGCAGUGCAGGGGGUUCCAGCCUGUGUGCUCCUUGGCUCAGGAGAUGUGCAGCAGUGCAGGGGGUUCCAGCCUGUGUGCUCCUUGGCUCAGGAGAUGUGCAGCAGUGCAGGGGGUUCCAGCCUGUGUGCUCCUUGGCUCAGGAGAUGUGCAGCAGUGCAGGGGGUUCCAGCCUGUGUGCUCCUUGGCUCAGGAGAUGUGCAGCAGUGCAGGGGGUUCCAGCCUGUGUGCUCCUUGGCUCAGGAGAUGUGCAGCAGUGCAGGGGGUUCCAGCCUGUGUGCUCCUUGGCUCAGGAGAUGUGCAGCAGUGCAGGGGGUUCCAGCCUGUGUGCUCCUUGGCUCAGGAGAUGUGCAGCAGUGCAGGGGGUUCCAGCCUGUGUGCUCCUUGGCUCAGGAGAUGUGCAGCAGUGCAGGGGGUUCCAGCCUGUGUGCUCCUUGGCUCAGGAGAUGUGCAGCAGUGCAGGGGGUUCCAGCCUGUGUGCUCCUUGGCUCAGGAGAUGUGCAGCAGUGCAGGGGGUUCCAGCCUGUGUGCUCCUUGGCUCAGGAGAUGUGCAGCAGUGCAGGGGGUUCCAGCCUGUGUGCUCCUUGGCUCAGGAGAUGUGCAGGGGGUCCCAGCCCGUGGCUGCUCUGUGCCCCUGGACCCGGCCGUGCUGCCAUCCCCAGCGCUGUCCGUCUGUCCUGCCCUGUGCUGGCAGCACUCCUGCCUCUCCUGGCUCCUUGCCUUUCCUGUGCAGCCCUGGGCAGCUCGGGGUGUCCCCAGCCCAGCCCCUGGCAGGGCUCAGUGCAGGGCUGCCCUCCCUGCCCCUCUCCCCGAGUCCCUCCAGCUAUUUAUUCAUCCAGAUGAGCCAAUGUGGUGAAGUCCAGAAGAGCAAACUCGCUCCUGAGCGUCCAUGAGGUCACUUUUGGUAAGCUUGACAGUAGUUUGUGCAAGUGUCUUACUUUACCCUUCUCAUCUAAUAGCUUUAAUAUUAAACUGUUUAAAAGAGAGAUCUGUUGCAGCCCUGAAGAAAAAGGUUCUUUGUUUCUGAAGAGCGGAGUCCUUUUUUUAAAAAUGCAUGUGUAAGAUUUAAAUUCCUGUUUUUCCUUGGGAGAUAAUGGUAUUUGAACAUGCAGUCUCAACUUCUUUGUGCUUUGUGUAACAUAGCAGUGGACUUUUGUGAUUGGCACCCAAGGAACUCGACUCCUGGGAUUCAUGGUAGUGAUCCUGGCUGCACUCUGGACUUUGUUUUGCUAACCAUAAUUGAGCAACUGUACAUUACUGCGAUAUUAAUGUUUCAAAGCACUGGGAUAGUCUAAUUCUAACUUGUAAUUAUGUUUGCCAAUUAUCUGUUUGGAAAGUUGGUGUAUGAACAGCUUCUUGAAACUGUUAAAUUGUACAGAUAUCGUUCAUGAUCUGAAGCUUUGUACUGUGGAAUGUGCUUAAUAAAAAAAAGUUUGAACUUAAUUUGUCGCAUGAACGGAUGAGUGAUGUCACCUCAGCAGAGUUUGGGAGGGAGUUAGGGGUGGGUUGGAGCAGCCUGGCUGGGGAGGUCCCUGCUCAAUUAAUGCCCUUCCAGCCCAGCCCCAGUGGAAGGCACAGAGCAAGUGGAGCCCAAACCUGUGUCACAGCCCAGCUCUGCUCUGGCGCAGGGGUGGCAGCUGGUGGCCCCCCUUCCCUUUCCUGGGGACAAACUGGGAGCAGUGGGAACUGGGGCUGAGCUCAUUCACCCAUCACAGAGGUCUGAGCACCACUGCCUCUGCAGGAGCAUCACCAGGAUUCUUUCUUUACCAA